rnacentral:lncRNA from 1 species
CUUCUAUAAUUAGGUGCUUGGUACAUUUUCAAGCAAGGCUUCAAGUAAUACAACAACAUAUACUUAUUAUAAAGAAAAACCACAAUUUAAUGUGGAUGACAAGAUAUGAUUUAUUUUCUUGCAAUAUGAAGAAUAUUUGUUCUUUGGAUAAAUUAGAUUAUUAUAGGCUUGGACUUUUUUUUAUUUGUAAAUAAAUCCAUCUAAUUGCUUAUAAAUUAUUUCUACCAAAGUCAAAGAAGAUUCAUCUUUUAUUCCAUGAAUUUCUUCU